ACUUGUCCAGCUCCUGUCUUCAUUGUCCUCGCGCUGAGAGUUAAAGACACAGAAGCUGUUUGUGUGAGGAGUCACAGACCUGUGUGAGGAUGAGGAGGAGGUGUUCUUCUGAAGAGAGGGACAGACGGUUUAAGGAGAGUAAACUUCAGAAUAACAUCAAGUUAUCUUUAUUUUUACUAAGACUAAAAUAAUGUGUGUGUUUUUUUUAGAUGUUGAAAUCCAGAGACAAGAUAACUUCAUUCUUUUUAGACUGAUGUAAGUUAAAUUAUUAUUACUUUUUUUUUUUUUUGAAAAUUAAUGUUUCUGUUGUGUCCUGCCUGUUAACUUCACAUUUUGAUGCAAAAACAGUGUGAUUUUAUAUAUAUAUGUAUGUAUAUGUUAAUAUUUUAUUGAAACCAUUGAUGCCCCUCUUUGCAGAACUCAAACUAACUGCAGUUAAGGACACACAAGUCUGCUUGUGUGAGGAGGUGGUUUUCUCAGCUUCUUCUGAAGAGAGGGAAAUAUCGUUUAAGGCAAGUAAACUUCAUAAUUUCAUGUUAUCAGCUGUUGUUGUGUUUUACUAAGAGUAAAAUAAUAUUUGUUUUUGUAGAUGUUAAAAGCAAGAGACAUGGGAGAUCAUCAUUCCCUUGAGAUUUUAUGUAAGUUAUUUUUAGAAAAUAAAUUUUUCUGUUGUCUCCUGCCAGUUUACUUCACAUUUUGAUGCAAAAACAGUGUGAUUUUAUAUAUAUAUGUAUGUAUGUAUGUAUAUGUUAAUAUUUUAUUGAAACCAUUGAUGCCCCUCUUUGCAGAACUCAAACUAACUGGAGUUAAGGACACACAAGUCUGCUUGUGUGAGGAGGUGGUUUUCUCAGCUUCUUCUGAAGAGAGGGAAAUAUCGUUUAAGGCAAGUAAACUUCAUAAUUUAAUGCUAUCAGCAUUUUGAUGCAACAACAGUGUGAUUACGUGCUCAUUUCAUUAAAACCAUUGAUGUCUGUGUUUUUUAUUGCAGAAAUCAAACCAACUUUGGAGUUGUCUGAUUUGGAGAGUCAUUAUUCUUGGUCUGCGCUCUUAGAGGCCACUGAUGAAGAACAGGCGGUGACUGGGAUGAAUGCUGGUCAGAGAGGAGAAUCUUCUUUCCCCUAAACAGCAGUGGUUUUAAAGGAGGACGCUGCCCUGGAUGAUGUAGAAGAUGUCACAUGUGCUGAUGGGGUUUCUUCAUGAUUACAUCAGUUAUGCUAAAGAGAUCAUGAAAAUUGACCGUGAUGCAUGAUCUGUAUUCAUGGACAAUGAAACAAACUGUAAGUGUAUAAUUUGUUAAAAAAAAAAAAGUUAAAUGCUUUUUCUGUGUUGUUUAGUAGAAAAGUUUACACUCUGUCAUUCAUACACCUGCUCACAUUCUUUCACACACACACCCCCACACACACACACACACACAUGCGUCUGUUAAAGGUUAUAAUAUCAAAGUUAAUGUUGUGAUUGUAAAUUUAUUGUAUGUGUUUUCGUAUAUUUUUAUACAAUAUAUACAAUUGAACAAAGUCCAAUUUGAUCUUAAGUUAUAUUCAUCAAAUGUUCAAUGCUUUAUGAACUCUGUUGCUGUUAAUGCCAUCCUUUUCUGCAUUUCUUCUAACAUGUUACUUUUUGACUUUUCUCUUGUUUUUAAUAAAUAUUUUCCUUUUGGUAAUUAUUAUUUGUGUGUAAAAGUGAUAUUUAAAAUGAACAACAUUUGUAGGUUUAAUGCCUAGCUCAAUUUGGGUUAAUUUUAACGUAGAAAUGCAUUGUUUCCCCACAUGGCUGCACUCUGUGGGUUUAUUUUCUGCCAGCAGGAGGCGCUAGGAGCGGGAGAGGUAGGUUUCUCCG
ensembl:lncRNA